UCCUACGGGAGGCAGCAGUGGGGAAUAUUGGACAAUGGGCGAAAGCCUGAUCCAGCCAUACCGCGUGUGUGAAGAAGGCCUUCGGGUUGUAAAGCACUUUAAGCAGGGAGAAAAAAAUAUAGGCUAAUACCCUAUGUUCUUGAUGUUACCUGCAGAAUAAGCACCGGCUAAUUCCGUGCCAGCAGCCGCGGUAAU
rnacentral:rRNA from 1 species